AGCGCAUACGGUGGAUGCCUUGGCAGUCAGAGGCGAUGAAAGACGUGGUAGCCUGCGAAAAGCUUCGGGGAGUCGGCAAACAGACUGUGAUCCGGAGAUGUCUGAAUGGGGGAACCCAGCCAUCAUAAGAUGGUUAUCUUACACUGAAUACAUAGGUGUAAGAGGCGAACCAGGGGAACUGAAACAUCUAAGUACCCUGAGGAAAAGAAAUCAACCGAGAUUCCCUUAGUAGUGGCGAGCGAACGGGGACCAGCCCUUAAGUUGUAUUGAGAUUAGCGGAACGCUCUGGAAAGUGCGGCCAUAGUGGGUGAUAGCCCUGUACGCGAAAAUCCCUUUGCAAUGAAAUCGAGUAGGACGGGGCACGAGAAACCUUGUCUGAAUAUGGGGGGACCAUCCUCCAAGGCUAAAUACUACUGACUGACCGAUAGUGAACCAGUACCGUGAGGGAAAGGCGAAAAGAACCGCGGAGAGCGGAGUGAAAUAGAUCCUGAAACCGUAUGCGUACAAGCAGUGGGAGCCCACUUUGUUGGGUGACUGCGUACCUUUUGUAUAAUGGGUCAGCGACUUAUUUUCAGUGGCGAGCUUAACCGAAUAGGGGAGGCGUAGCGAAAGCGAGUCUUAAUAGGGCGUCUAGUCGCUGGGAAUAGACCCGAAACCGGGCGAUCUAUCCAUGGGCAGGUUGAAGGUUGGGUAACACUAACUGGAGGACCGAACCGACUACCGUUGAAAAGUUAGCGGAUGACCUGUGGAUCGGAGUGAAAGGCUAAUCAAGCUCGGAGAUAGCUGGUUCUCCUCGAAAGCUAUUUAGGUAGCGCCUCAUGUAUCACUGUAGGGGGUAGAGCACUGUUUCGGCUAGGGGGUCAUCCCGACUUACCAAACCGAUGCAAACUCCGAAUACCUACAAGUGCCGAGCAUGGGAGACACACGGCGGGUGCUAACGUCCGUCGUGAAAAGGGAAACAACCCAGACCGUCAGCUAAGGUCCCAAAGUCAUGGUUAAGUGGGAAACGAUGUGGGAAGGCUUAGACAGCUAGGAGGUUGGCUUAGAAGCAGCCACCCUUUAAAGAAAGCGUAAUAGCUCACUAGUCGAGUCGGCCUGCGCGGAAGAUGUAACGGGGCUCAAACCAUGCACCGAAGCUACGGGUAUCAUCUUAUGAUGAUGCGGUAGAGGAGCGUUCUGUAAGCCUGUGAAGGUGAGUUGAGAAGCUUGCUGGAGGUAUCAGAAGUGCGAAUGCUGACAUGAGUAACGACAAUGGGUGUGAAAAACACCCACGCCGAAAGACCAAGGUUUCCUGCGCAACGUUAAUCGACGCAGGGUUAGUCGGUCCCUAAGGCGAGGCUGAAAAGCGUAGUCGAUGGAAAACAGGUUAAUAUUCCUGUACUUCUGGUUAUUGCGAUGGAGGGACGGAGAAGGCUAGGCCAGCCUGGCGUUGGUAGUCCAGGUUUAAGGUGGUAGGCUGAGAUCUUAGGUAAAUCCGGGAUCUUAAGGCCGAGAGCUGAUGACGAGUGUUCUUUUAGAACAUGAAGUGGUUGAUGCCAUGCUUCCAAGAAAAGCUUCUAAGCUUCAGGUAACCAGGAACCGUACCCCAAACCGACACAGGUGGUUGGGUAGAGAAUACCAAGGCGCUUGAGAGAACUCGGGUGAAGGAACUAGGCAAAAUGGCACCGUAACUUCGGGAGAAGGUGCGCCGGUGAGGGUGAAGCAUUUACUGCGUAAGCCCACGCCGGUCGAAGAUACCAGGCCGCUGCGACUGUUUAUUAAAAACACAGCACUCUGCAAACACGAAAGUGGACGUAUAGGGUGUGACGCCUGCCCGGUGCCGGAAGGUUAAUUGAUGGGGUUAGCGCAAGCGAAGCUCUUGAUCGAAGCCCCGGUAAACGGCGGCCGUAACUAUAACGGUCCUAAGGUAGCGAAAUUCCUUGUCGGGUAAGUUCCGACCUGCACGAAUGGCGUAACGAUGGCGGCGCUGUCUCCACCCGAGACUCAGUGAAAUUGAAAUCGCUGUGAAGAUGCAGUGUAUCCGCGGCUAGACGGAAAGACCCCGUGAACCUUUACUAUAGCUUUGCACUGGACUUUGAAUUUGCUUGUGUAGGAUAGGUGGGAGGCUUUGAAGCGUGGACGCCAGUCUGCGUGGAGCCAACCUUGAAAUACCACCCUGGCAACUUUGAGGUUCUAACUCAGGUCCGUUAUCCGGAUCGAGGACAGUGUAUGGUGGGUAGUUUGACUGGGGCGGUCUCCUCCUAAAGAGUAACGGAGGAGUACGAAGGUGCGCUCAGACCGGUCGGAAAUCGGUCGUAGAGUAUAAAGGCAAAAGCGCGCUUGACUGCGAGACAGACACGUCGAGCAGGUACGAAAGUAGGUCUUAGUGAUCCGGUGGUUCUGUAUGGAAGGGCCAUCGCUCAACGGAUAAAAGGUACUCCGGGGAUAACAGGCUGAUACCGCCCAAGAGUUCAUAUCGACGGCGGUGUUUGGCACCUCGAUGUCGGCUCAUCACAUCCUGGGGCUGAAGCCGGUCCCAAGGGUAUGGCUGUUCGCCAUUUAAAGUGGUACGCGAGCUGGGUUUAGAACGUCGUGAGACAGUUCGGUCCCUAUCUGCCGUGGACGUUUGAGAUUUGAGAGGGGCUGCUCCUAGUACGAGAGGACCGGAGUGGACGAACCUCUGGUGUUCCGGUUGUCACGCCAGUGGCAUUGCCGGGUAGCUAUGUUCGGAAAAGAUAACCGCUGAAAGCAUCUAAGCGGGAAACUUGCCUCAAGAUGAGAUCUCACUGGAACCUUGAGUUCCCUGAAGGGCCGUCGAAGACUACGACGUUGAUAGGUUGGGUGUGUAAGCGCUGUGAGGCGUUGAGCUAACCAAUACUAAUUGCCCGUGAGGCUUGACC
rnacentral:rRNA from 1 species